rnacentral:rRNA from 1 species
GGUACGCGCGGUCCGGACGGCGGGGGAAGAAGGAGUGUGGAAGCUUGAAUCGGAAUUACGGGUGGUAAGGCGAACGAAGGCGGGUGGAUAAGUUAGAGGUGAAAGCCCCGGGCGCAAACUGGGAAUUGCAUUUAAAACUGGCCAGCUAGAGUCUUGGAGAGGGGGGUAGAAUUCCAGGUGUAGCGGUGAAAUGCGUAGAGAUCUGGAGGAAUACCGGUGGCGAAGGCGGCCCCCUGGACAAAGACUGACGCUCAGGUGCGAAAGCGUGGGGAGCAAACAGGAUUAGAUACCCCUGUAGUC